UGUGUCUCUUAUAUAAAAGCAAAAGAAGCCCCCAAAGCAACUGCCAACAUCUCUGGGAAUGCGGUUGCUACAGAGCAGACUGCUGGAGGGUGCUCCAUUUCUGAAACUUAUGAAAAUCCCUGAAGAGACAUGACAACAUCGUGGCACAACUGGAAAUCGAUGUAGCCAGUGGACACAUAAGCCUUCGUUCGCCCUGAUCUCACAUAUGUGCUGCUCAUUGUACCAUCAACACCAAACGAAGGCACAGAAAUUCAUGCUAAUGUGUGUUUGAUGUUGAUCUGAAUAUGGAUAAUUAAGGAAAGGCUGCUGUAAUGUUUUAAUUGUACAUAUGGCCUAGGGCUGGGCAAUAAAUCGAAAAUGUAUCUUUAUCAAAAUGUGUGACUCUUAUCGGGAUUAUUUUCCCACGUCAAUAAAUUUGAUAAUAGAAAAAAUGAAAAGAUGUGUGUAGGUUGGCAACAUUCAUGUCCCUUUAAGAUGUACCACCUUGAGUCACGUAAAAAUGUGACUCAAUUAGAGCUGAAACAACUAAUCGAUUUAAUCGAUUAUAAUCGAUUAUUAAAAUAGUUAACAACUUUUUUAGUCAUCGAUUAGUUGUUUAAUAAUCAUAUUUUACCGCAUAACGUCUAUUUUUUACCACAAUCUGACAUCGGUUACAAUCUGUUAAAUUUGCCGCCAGUGUGUGGCAGUAAUGAGCCACUGAUCUACCAGUGGAGCCGUAGAAGAAGAAAUGAGCCAAUAAGUGCCCUCGGUUUUCAUGACGUAUCACGUUACUGACGCUCAUCUUGCUGUGAGAGAUGGCGGAUCAACAAGAAAUACGGAAGAAAAAUAGAAGCGACAAAACAAGAGAAACCCCGGACAAAAACCUCACGAAUAUGGGAGCACUUCACUAGAUGCCUUGAAAAGACCGGUGACCUGCAAAAUAUGCAAAAACCAUGGCACGACGGAAGCACGACGUCCCUAAGUGAACAUUUGAGAUGAAAACGUGGGGGCUGAUGCAGCAGAGGAAUGUCCGAAAAAAACAAGCAACGAUGGACAACUACAUGGGGAACAAGACACUCACCCCCAGCAAUGCAUACCACUUACAAACUCUAUUCCAGAUUCUACAUUAUUUUUUAUGGAAUUUACCUCUUAUAUUUUGAUGCCAAAAAAUUAUUCUGGACUGAUAUUUUGCACUGUUUAGCUCAUUUUACACCGCUGACUGUGUUCAUGUGCAAUAAAAUAGAUUGCAGUCAACUGCAAAA